rnacentral:pre_miRNA from 1 species
UAGGUUUGUCCUAAGUCAAACUAGCUUAAGUUUGACCAACUUAUAUAGAAAAAUGUGCUAGGAUCUACAUAACCAAAUACACAUAUGCGAAAAUAUAGUUCAUAAAGAAUCUCGUGGGACUAAUUAGGUGCUCUAGAUGUCAAUAUAUUUUUCUAUAGACUUGGUCAGACUUAAACAAGUUUGACUUAGGACAAACCCAG